AAUCAGAGGAUGGAAGCAGUGCCUAUGUUAAUGAUCAUUCAACAAACCAAGAUGCUAUUUGUUCUCUAUCUUUAAAAGCUGCUAAUGUCGCUUCUCGGUGGCUGGAUUUGCUUCAGCAGGAUAUCAAAGGACGUCUGGCUGCACUGCGACGUAGUAAGAAGAGG